UACGAAGGGGGCUAGCGUUGUUCGGAUUUACUGGGCGUAAAGCGCGUGUAGGCGGGUCUUUAAGUCAGGGGUGAAAUGCCAAGGCUCAACCUUGGAACUGCCUUUGAUACUGGAGACCUUGAGUCCGGGAGAGGUGAGUGGAAUUGCGAGUGUAGAGGUGAAAUUCGUAGAUAUUCGCAAGAACACCAGUGGCGAAGGCGGCUCACUGGCCCGGAACUGACGCUGAGACGCGAAAGCGUGGGGAGCAAACAGG
rnacentral:rRNA from 1 species